AUCGAGUCGACUCACGCAACCACUCUAAUUAGACGUACAUAUUCAUGGGUGCGUCCUCCGAACAAACCUCCGUCAGUAGUCACUGUCUUGGUGGAUGAUGAGUUCAUGACUAGCUGAUGAUUCGACAGGGAAACGUAUCCAUCGUUCACUCUUAGUUACCGCUGUAUAUACCCGAGGGUCGAUCAGUACAGCGUGCCCUUCCCUGCAGACAACUCGAGAGCAAGGAGGAGUAGGAGGCAGCCCGCUUAUUGACAAUGCGGAGACCGACGAGUUCAUUGGGCUCAGUGAGCCCGGCAGGUCGUAGGAGGUGGGCCAGGUCAAAGUCUACCUGGAGCAGGACUACCAAGUCCCUCGUAUGAAGUCCAGCUAGCCCGGUUCUUCUGCCUGUUCCAAGUAUGCCCAACACCACUGGGAGGGACGCCUUUCGCAGGAGGUUCCGGUUUCUCCUACCGAGCUGUUCCGGUUCUCUUUCUCCUUCGGGUUAGCGGCAAAACUAGGUUGAUGCACCCUCGACACUCGGCUCCCGACUCUGCUCACUCCGUAGACUCAAUAGUAAACCGACAUUAGACAAGAGGGGAAGGGGACAAGGGGACAAGGGGAGAGCUUGGAUGGGAAGAAGGAGGAGGUCUAGGGGUUAGAGGAAGGGGUUUUUGGAACAUAGACCUAUACUUAGUCACGAUCAAUCGUUUCUCCUUGGAUUGUCUUUGAUUACCGCAGAUACACGAGGGUCGACCACGAUGAGUACACAGUACAGCGUCGUC
rnacentral:rRNA from 1 species